CUGGCAGCCAGACCAGCAACAGGCGUCAAGUCCCAGCACAGCCCAUCUGAGGAUGUCCUGGGCCUGCUGGGGGAGGAGAGGGACUACACACCAAAGGAGUUGCAGAAUCCAACUAAUACAGGCCUGCAGGAGCUAAGAGAAUAUACAUUAAUGGAAUCCCCAGGGUGCUGGAUCAAGAGCAGCUGAACAUCAAAUUGGGCUGGGAUUGUGCCUCUACAUGCAGCAGAAGGAGAGAGGGGCAUGUGAGGUGAGGGUGUAAGCCAGGAAGUAAUUCUAAGGAUGGACUGUGGAACCUAGCACGCACAGAGGGAAACAACACGCAGGCACUGAGGUUUGCCACCAGAACACAGGUGUUGUGAAAACCACCACUAAGCCUAAACCAAAAUGCAAAAGAAAAGACUCACGUCAACAUUAUCGUCAUUGGAUGAUUCAGGAAGUCUACCACUACUGGUCAUCUGAUCUACAAAUAUGGUGGGAUUGACAAAAGAACUAUUGAAAAAUUUGAGAAGGAGGCUGCUGGGAUGGGAAAGGGCUCCUUCAAGUAUGCCUGGGUCUUGGAUAAACUGGAAGUUGAACGUGAACGUGGUAUCACCAUCGAUAUCUCCCUGCAGAAAUUUGAGACCAGCAAAGUAUUAUGCGACCAUCAUUGAUGCCCCAGGACACAGAGACUUUAUCAAAAACAUGAUUACAGGCACAUCUCAG